GAAAUCUGUCCAUGUUCCACAAGGAGCCCAGAGAGAAGCUGGGUGUGAAGGGUCACUGUUUUGGUCUGGGUGGGCUUGGCCACAGAGAGAACGCUAUGGAACACCGAGAGUUUCGGUUCUUGCCAAUGUCAAAGCCACAAAGAGUGACACCUACUGAUAAGAGCCAAUCGGAACCGUGGUCGAAUUCCUUCAGAUUGGACCUGCCAACAAACUGCUCAGCCCUCCAGAUGUUACCGCUUUGUGAGAAAUAAGAACUCAAUAAACCAGGCUCACCCUUCCUCCUGGGGUGAACACAAAGACAGUCAGAUAUGGAAAAUCACGGCUCAGCACCGUGAACAAUGCACUCAAGUGAGGGGUUGGGGCCGGUCUUAUUUGUCUUGGUGGAACAGACAGCCAUGGAGCCUGAUGCAAGAAUUUUAGUUGGCAACUGUUCAAACUCUGACUAUACAUUGCAAUUUUUCAACCAAAGGAAACCUGGGAGCUAGGAAAAAAUGGCCUUUUAACAACAGGCAUGAGACACUCAUGCAAAGGGUUCGGUAUGUAUCUCACAUGAUGUUAUCA
rnacentral:lncRNA from 1 species